UGGUAGCGGCAGUGUGCUACU
rnacentral:siRNA from 1 species